UACGAAGGGGGCGAGCGUUGUUCGGAUUUACUGGGCGUAAAGGGCGCGCAGGCGGCUUAUUUUGUCAGGCGUGAAAGCCCCGGGCUUAACCUGGGAACUGCGUUUGAUACGGAUGGGCUAGAGUUCGGGAGAGGAGAGUGGAAUUCCCAGUGUAGAGGUGAAAUUCGUAGAUAUUGGGAAGAACACCGGUGGCGAAGGCGGCUCUCUGGACCGAUACUGACGCUGAGGCGCGAAAGCUGGGGGAGCGAACGGG
rnacentral:rRNA from 1 species